rnacentral:rRNA from 1 species
UAGGGAAUCUUCGGCAAUGGACGGAAGUCUGACCGAGCAACGCCGCGUGAGUGAAGAAGGUUUUCGGAUCGUAAAGCUCUGUUGUUAGAGAAGAACGUUGGUAGGAGUGGAAAAUCUACCAAGUGAGGGUAACUAACCAGAAAGGGACGGCUAACUACGUGCCAGCAGCCGCGGUAAUACGUAGGUCCCGAGCGUUGUCCGGAUUUAUUGGGCGUAAAGCGAGCGCAGGCGGUUCUUUAAGUCUGAAGUUAAAGGCAGUGGCUUAACCAUUUUACGCUUUGGAAACUGGAGGACUUGAGUGCGGAAGGGGAGAGUGGAAUUCCAUGUGUAGCGGUGAAAUGCGUAGAUAUAUGGAGGAACACCGGUGGCGAAAGCGGCUCUCUGGUCUGUAACUGACGCUGAGGCUCGAAAGCGUGGGGAGCAAACAGG